rnacentral:lncRNA from 14 species
AUCAUGAAUAGUAGACUCAGAAGGCUGCAUGACUCAGGAGCUAGGCUGCAAUGAUACACCAUAAUUUUAUGAGUUCCACCAACCUUGGAGAUCAGUCUGCAGCUAACAAUGCUAUGGAACCUCAUAAAUGUCACCUGCCAGUUGCCAAAGAACCUUUAGUUGAACUGGUUAGAGAAUGGAAACUCUCUAUGUCCU